ACUCCUACGGGAGGCAGCAGUAGGGAAUCUUCGGCAAUGGGGGCAACCCUGACCGAGCAACGCCGCGUGAGUGAAGAAGGUUUUCGGAUCGUAAAACUCUGUUGUUAGAGAAGAACGUUAAGUAGAGUGGAAAAUUACUUAAGUGACGGUAUCUAACCAGAAAGGGACGGCUAACUACGUGCCAGCAGCCGCGGUAAUACGUAGGUCCCAAGCGUUGUCCGGAUUUUAUUGGGCGUAAAGCGAGCGCAGGUGGUUUCUUAAGUCUGAUGUAAAAGGCAGUGGCUCAACCAUUGUGUGCAUUGGAAACUGGGAGACUUGAGUGCAGGAGAGGAGAGUGGAAUUCCAUGUGUAGCGGUGAAAUGCGUAGAUAUAUGGAGGAACACCGGAGGCGAAAGCGGCUCUCUGGCCUGUAACUGACACUGAGGCUCGAAAGCGUGGGGAGCAAACAGGAUUAGAUACCCUGGUAGGUCAGUC
rnacentral:rRNA from 1 species